rnacentral:snRNA from 1 species
GUGCUUUGCUUGCAGCACACAUACGCAAAAUUGGAUCGAUACAGAGAAGAUUAGCAUGCCCCUUUGAAAGACUGACAAACCCUAAGCCUCAUAUUU